rnacentral:rRNA from 1 species
AUAGCGUAUAUUAAAGUUGUUGCAGUUAAAAAGCUCGUAGUUGGAUCUCAGGAGUUGAGGGAGUGGUUCGCCUUUCAGGUGUUACUAUUCUCUCUUCCUAUCUAGUCGGAGUCCGUCUUGGUGCUCUUUACUGAGCGCCUUGAUAGCCCGACAUGUUUACUUUGAACAAAUUAGAAUGCUUAAAGCAAGCCUUGCGCUUGUAUAGUCAUGCAUGGAAUAGGACUUUAGUUCUAUUUUGUUGGUUUACGGAAUCUAAAGUAAUGAUUAAAAGGGACAGUCGGGGGCAUUCGUAUUGUGGCGGGAGAAGUGAAAUUCGGAGAUCGCCGCAAGACGACCUACUG